AACAUAGUGGCUGAUAAAAGUGAUAAAUUGUAAAUUUAUUUAUAAAUAAAAAAUUAUUUCUAUGUUU
rnacentral:tRNA from 1 species